GUGCCAGCCGCCGCGGUAAGACGGAGGGCGCAAGCGUUGUUCGGAAUUACUGGGCGUAAAGCGCGGGCAGGCGGUCUGUUAAGUCGUUUGUGAAAAUCCGGGGCUCAACCCCGCGAAAUGCAUACGAUACUGGCAGGCUGGAGACUGGUAGAGGCUAGCGGAAUUCCUGGUGUAGCGGUGGAAUGCGUAGAUAUCAGGAAGAACACCUGUGGCGAAGGCGGCUAGCUGGGCCAGUUCUGACGCUCAUCCGCGAAAGCGUGGGGAGCAAACAGGAUUAGAUACCCCCGUAGUCC
rnacentral:rRNA from 1 species